rnacentral:rRNA from 1 species
UACGUAGGGCGCAAGCGUUAUCCGGAAUUAUUGGGCGUAAAGAGCUCGUAGGCGGCUUGUCGCGUCGUCUGUGAAAUCCCGCGGCUCAACUGCGGGCUGCAGUCGAUACGGGCAGGCUGGAGUUCGGUAGGGGAGACUGGAAUUCCUGGUGUAGCGGUGAAAUGCGUAGAUAUCUGGAGGAACACCGGUGGCGAAGGCGGCAUUCUGGACCGAUAUUGACGCUGAGGAGCGAAAGCCAGGGGAGCAAACGGG